UGCGUAGGCGGCUGGAUAAGUCACGUGUGAAAGCCCGGGGCUCAACCCCGGAGCUGCAUGUGAGACUGCCCGGCUCGAGCACGGUAGAGGCGAGUGGAAUUCCUGGUGUAGCGGUGGAAUGCGUAGAGAUCAGGAAGAACACCGGUGGCGAAGGCGGCUCGCUGGGCCGUUGCUGACGCUGAGGCACGAAAGCGUGGGGAGCAAACAGGAUUAGAUACCCUGGUAGUCCACGCUGUAAACGAUGGACACUAGGCGUCGGGGGGAGCGACCCUCCCGGUGCCGUCGCUAACGCAAUAAGUGUCCCGCCUGGGGAGUACGGCCGCAAGGCUGAA
rnacentral:rRNA from 1 species